UCGGGCGACACCGACCAACGCUCCGCCGGCACGGCCGCCCCGCCCGGAUUUCUACGGUCGUGGCUCUCCCUGAUUGGUCGGAAUGGAGUGACGUGCGGCGCCGCGCGGGCCGCGAUUGGCUGCGGGCGGGAGCGAGGCCGGGGCGGAUUGCAUCAGACUGUGGGGGAGGGGUUGGCGCGUGGCGGGCAUUGAGGGCGCUGCGGGAGCCGUGCGGGGCCCGUCCUACCGGCCCUUUGUGCCGUGGUCAUUGAAGCCCGACUGUUGCUCCCUGCUGAGCGCUGCCCCUGGUGCUUGUGUCCGCUCCGACAGUAACGUGAAGCAAGAAGCUCCCAGGCUAUAGGAAGGGCCCCAGGAGCAGAUCAAUCCUUUGGCACAGGGCAGGUGGCACGUACAAGGAAGACCGUUUAUGACAGUGCUGGAGAACUGAACUAUCCCAAAUAUUUUCCGUGGGACACAUUACCCUAACUUAAGACUUUAGGAAGGGACUUUUUGAAACAGGUGAAAGGAUGAGAAGAGUGAGGCACCUGUGGGGCGGCAAGAGGGAACCAUAGGCUUUGUUUCUCUGUUUCUUCAUUUCAGAGGCCUGUACUCAUUAGAGGGAAGAAGAAUGGAAGGACACAGAGCAUGCAGAUCCUCUUCUGAACUCCUGAAGAGAUGGGAAGGCAGCAGGUCUGGAUAUCAUUGGCCCAAUCCACAGAGGAGGUAACAGCAACCCACUCAUCAUAGCAACAAUUACCCCGCAUCCAUCUCAGCUUUUGCUACAGAUUGCAAGACUCUCGGAGAAGAGUUCCUGAGUUCUCCUCGUUUAACCUCUUCCUGUUGAUUAUGAUGUAGCAAACUGUAUGUUACCCAAACACCAGCAUUGAUACGCAGAUAAAGAAAACCAAGGGGAGGCGGUUUGCAGGAAAGAUGCUUUUAUUCAGUGCACUAGAUGCUCAUUUCUGGCAUCCUACUGGAAAACAACUUCAUAAUAUUCUAAAAAUCAUGUUGACCACAUCUGUUUGCUUACUGCCUUCUCUGUUGUAACCAGGCUCAAAGAAUACUGAGUUAACAAGGUGCUGAUCAAUACUCCUAGGGCUGGAGCACCUCUCCUAUGCAGAAAGGCUGUGGGAGUUNUGGCAGGGGUGGGGCUGGGGAAUCUGUAAGCUCCCCUCCAACCUCAGCCAUUCUAUGAUUCCUGCCCUACACACAGAUGAGGAACGUGCUGGAUCGCUGGCAAUGCCCUGGAUACGGCAAGUGUUGGAUUAACGCCAUACACGUAUGCAGAAGAGCAGCGUCUCUCCUGCACAGAGAGAAUCGGUGACAUGGGUACAUGGGUUACAA
rnacentral:lncRNA from 1 species